rnacentral:lncRNA from 1 species
CAACAUGGUUGAUUAAAUGUGACCCACUAGAUGAACAUGACUCACAAACAACAAAGUAAAUUCCUAUUAAAUUCUAUUCAUUUUAGACAUAGUAAAAACAUAUAAGUGGAGCCAACUGAACAGCACUAUUAACAAUGCCUCACACGAAGCCUGCAACACAACAACACUAAAUAUAGCAAGUUCCAGGAUAUCUAACACUGUGGAGACCCUUACUAACCAACUGUCUUGUGUGAGUGGCAAAAACCAAAGCCUUUCUGAAGAGAAGAUUGGAGGGCUGCAAUACAAUCUCAGACGGAUUAUGGAUUUGAAUUUAAAAGUCUUCAUAUAUUUGGCUGAAAAUGACUCAAAAUCCGAGGUCCUCAAUGUCUUUGGAGUUUUGAACAGUCUCAACCCUGUUAAUGUCCGAAGUGAGACGUUCAUACGACUGUGGUCCAAAAUCCAGCUGGAACCUCUUUUGCCCUACAUUACUGGAGAAUUCAUGACCCUGUUGAGCACAAAAGACUUCAGCUGCAGCGCUUAUCAGGCAUUGUGCGUUGACAACAAUUCAGAUUCUAUAAUAUGA